AGAGUUUGAUCAUGGCUCAGGAUGAACGCUAGCGGCAGGCUUAAUACAUGCAAGUCGUGGGGCAGCAGCUCUGUAGCAAUACAGAGGCUGGCGACCGGCAAACGGGUGCGGAACACGUACACAACCUUCCUUCGAGUGGGGAAUAGCCCGGGGAAACCCGGAUUAAUACCCCGUAAUAUAAUGGAGUGGCAUCACUUUAUUAUUAUAGCUCCGGCGCUUGAAGAUGGGUGUGCGACUGAUUAGGCAGUUGGCGGGGUAACGGCCCACCAAACCUACGAUCAGUAACUGGUGUGAGAGCACGACCAGUCACACGGGCACUGAGACACGGGCCCGACUCCUACGGGAGGCAGCAGUAAGGAAUAUUGGUCAAUGGACGCAAGUCUGAACCAGCCAUGCCGCGUGGAGGAUGAAGGUCCUCUGGAUUGUAAACUUCUUUUAUCUGGGAAGAAAUCCACGAAUUCUUUUGUGGUUGACGGUACCAGAUGAAUAAGCACCGGCUAACUCCGUGCCAGCAGCCGCGGUAAUACGGAGGGUGCAAGCGUUAUCCGGAUUCACUGGGUUUAAAGGGUGCGUAGGUGGGCAGGUAAGUCAGUGGUGAAAUCUCCGGGCUUAACUCGGAAACUGCCAUUGAUACUAUCUGUCUUGAAUACCGUGGAGGUCAGCGGAAUAUGUCAUGUAGCGGUGAAAUGCUUAGAUAUGACAUAGAACACCAAUUGCGAAGGCAGCUGGCUACACGAAUAUUGACACUGAUGCACGAAAGCGUGGGGAUCAAACAGGAUUAGAUACCCUGGUAGUCCACGCCCUAAACGAUGGAUACUCGACAUACGCGAUAUACUGUGUGUGUCUGAGCGAAAGCAUUAAGUAUCCCACCUGGGAAGUACGAUCGCAGAUUGAAACUCAAAGGAAUUGGGCGGGGGGUCCGCACAAGCGU
rnacentral:rRNA from 1 species